rnacentral:rRNA from 1 species
AGAGUUUGAUCCUGGCUCAGGACGAACGCUGGCGGCGCGCUUAACACAUGCAAGUCGAGCGAGAACCGGGCGUCGGGCCCGGGGAAAGCGGCGAACGGGUGAGUAACACGUGGGUAACCUGCCCUCGGCAUCGGGAUAGCCCGGGGAAACCCGGAUUAAUACCGGAUAGCCUCCGGAGCCUUCGGGCGCCGGAGAAAAGGUGGCUUAGGCAUCCGGCCGAGGAUGGGCCUGCGGCGGAUUAGCUUGUUGGUGGGGUAACGGCCCACCAAGGCGACGAUCCGUAGCUGGUCCGAGAGGACGAUCAGCCACACUGGGACUGAGACACGGCCCAGACUCCUACGGGAGGCAGCAGUGGGGAAUCUUGCGCAAUGGGCGAAAGCCUGACGCAGCGACGCCGCGUGCGGGAAGAAGGCCUUCGGGUUGUAAACCGCUUUCAGGAGGGACGAAGCCACUCGGGUGAAUAGCCCAGAGGGUGACGGUACCUUCAGAAGAAGCCCCGGCUAACUACGUGCCAGCAGCCGCGGUAAUACGUAGGGGGCAAGCGUUGUCCGGAUUUAUUGGGCGUAAAGAGCGUGUAGGCGGCCAGAUAGGUCCGCUGUGAAAACUCGAGGCUCAACCUCGAGAUGUCGGUGGAAACCAUCUGGCUAGAGUCCGGAAGAGGAGAGUGGAAUUCCCGGUGUAGCGGUGAAAUGCGCAGAUAUCGGGAAGAACACCCGUGGCGAAGGCGGCUCUCUGGGACGGUACUGACGCUGAGACGCGAAAGCGUGGGGAGCGAACAGGAUUAGAUACCCUGGUAGUCCACGCCGUAAACGAUGGGUGCUAGGUGUGGGGAGUGUCGACUCUCUCCGUGCCGAAGCUAACGCAUUAAGCACCCCGCCUGGGGAGUACGGCCGCAAGGCUAAAACUCAAAGGAAUUGACGG